rnacentral:tRNA from 1 species
GUAACGGUGGCCGAGUGGUCAAGGCGCUAGCCUGCUAAGUUAGUGGGUUUUACCUGCGCGAGUUCGAAUCUCGCUCGUUACG